rnacentral:rRNA from 1 species
UACGGAGGGAGCUAGCGUUGUUCGGAAUUACUGGGCGUAAAGCGCACGUAGGCGGCUUUGUAAGUUAGAGGUGAAAGCCCGGAGCUCAACUCCGGAAUUGCCUUUAAGACUGCAUCGCUUGAAUCCAGGAGAGGUGAGUGGAAUUCCGAGUGUAGAGGUGAAAUUCGUAGAUAUUCGGAAGAACACCAGUGGCGAAGGCGGCUCACUGGACUGGUAUUGACGCUGAUGCGCGAAAGCGUGGGUAGCAAACAGG